rnacentral:rRNA from 1 species
AAUACCGUAUGUUGUCAUGUUGAUGCAUAUUUUCAUGACCAAAGGUUCGGCGGUAAAGGAUGGGGAUGCGUCUGAUUAGCUUGCCGGCGGGGUAACGGCCCACCGGGGCGACGAUCAGUAGGGGUUCUGAGAGGAAGGUCCCCCACAUUGGAACUGAGACACGGUCCAAACUCCUACGGGAGGCAGCAGUGAGGAAUAUUGGUCAAUGGGCGCGAGCCUGAACCAGCCAAGUAGCGUGCAGGACGACGGCCCUAUGGGUUGUAAACUGCUUUUAUACGGGGAUAAAGUAUGCCACGUGUGGUUUAUUGCAGGUACCGUAUGAAUAAGGACCGGCUAAUUCCGUGCCAGCAGCCGCGGUAAUACGGAAGGUCCGGGCGUUAUCCGGAUUUAUUGGGUUUAAAGGGAGCGUAGGCCGGGUUUUAAGCGUGCCGUGAAAUGUCGGGGCUCAACCUUGACACUGCGGCGCGAACUGGAGUCCUUGAGUGCGCGGAACGUAUGCGGAAUUCGUGGUGUAGCGGUGAAAUGCUUAGAUAUCACGAAGAACCCCGAUUGCGAAGGCAGCAUACGGCAGCGCUACUGACGCUGAAGCUCGAAGGCGCGGGUAUCGAACAGGAUUGGAUACCCUGGUAGUCCGCGCGGUAAACGAUGGAUGCCCGCUGUUGGCGAUAUAUUGUCAGCGGCCAAGC